UACAGAGGAGCCAAGCGUUGUCCGGAUUUGACUGGGCGUAAAGCGCACGUAGGCGGAUGUGUCAGUCAGGGGUGAAAUCCCGGAGCUCAACUUUCGGAACUGCCCUUGAUACAGCACGUCUUGAGUCCGAUAGAGGUGGGUGGAAUUCCUAGUGUAGAGGUGAAAUUCGUAGACAUUAGGAAGAACACCGGUGGCGAAGGCGGCCCACUGGAUCGGUACUGACGCUGAGGUGCGAAAAGCGUGGGGAGCAAACAGG
rnacentral:rRNA from 1 species